rnacentral:rRNA from 1 species
GAUGAACGCUAGCUACAGGCUUAACACAUGCAAGUCGAGGGACCGGCGCACGGGUGAGUAACGCGUAUCCAACCUGCCCAUAAGUAGGGUAUAACCCGCCGAAAUGCGGACUAAUACCCUAUGCUUAUGGAAGGGGAUGCGUCCGAUUAGCUUGUUGGUGAGGUAACGGCUCACCAAGGCUUCGAUCGGUGGGGGUUAGGAGAGGAAGGCCCCCUGGAAAGGAACCGGGACACGGUCUUAAAUCGGACGGGAGGCAGCAGUGAGGUAUAUUGGUCAAUGGGGGAGAGCCUGAACCAGCCAAGUGGCGGGCAGGAUGACGGCCUAUGGGUUGUAAACUACUUUUAUGCGCGGAUAGGUACCGCAUGAAUAAGGACCGGCUAAUUCCGUGCCAGCAGCCGCGGUAAUAC